AUGGUGAAGGAGGCGCCCGCCACUCCGGGCGCCAAGGGCAAGGGCAAGGGCGCCGCGUCGACCUCCGCCUCCGCGCCGACGCCGCCGUCCAAGGUCACCCCCGGAUCGGUCAGGCGCAAGAGGGCGUGUAAGAAGAAGAAGGCCGAUCCGGAGAAGCUGAAGGCGGCCGCCGCCGCUGCAGUCGCGGCCUCCGCCGACGCGCCUGCUUCGGGGCCCACGCCGGUGGUUCCCGCCCCGGCCGACGUCGGCACUUCGGCCGCCCUUGUGGUCGCCGAGAACGGCGGCGCUGACGGGAAGAUGGUCGCCAAGACCAACGGCGAUGGGGAUAAGUCCGUCGCCAAGGACAACGGUGGUGGCAGUAAGUCCGUCGCCGAGAACAAGGGUGAUGGCAGUAAGUCCGUCCCUGAGAACAAGGGUGAUGGCAGUAAGUCCAUCGCCGAGAACAAGGGUGAUGGCAGCAAGUCCGUCGCCGGGAACAAGGGUGAUGGCAGCAAGUCCGUCGCCGGGAACAAGGGUGAUGGCAGCAAGUCCGUCGCNNNNNNNNNNNNNNNNNNNNNNNNNNNNNNCGCCGAGAACAAGGGUGAUGGCAGCAAGUCCGUCGCCGAGAACAAGGGUGAUGGCAUUAAGAUGGGCACUGGGAACAGCAGUGCUGACAGGAAGAUGGGCACUGGGAACAGCAGUGCUGACAGGAAGAGGGGUAGGAAGGAUAAGAUGAGGGGGAGGGAGAAGGGGGAAGGACAGGGGAGGGUGAACCCGAAGGUUGAGGAGAAGGAGAAGAAGGACGGCGCAGCGGGGGAGGAGAGGGGCAGUGCUGGGUUUAUCUUCAUGUGCAACGGAAAGACGAAGCCGGAGUGCUUCCAGAACAGCGUGUUUGGCUUGCCCAAGGGGAAGAUAGAUGUGGUGGAGAAGAUCCGACCAGGGGCGAAGCUGUUCCUGUAUGACUUUGACCUGAAGCUUCUCUAUGGGGUGUACAAGGCAACAGCAAGAGGAGGGAUGGAUCUUGUGCGGCGUGCGUUCAACGGGAAAUUCCCUGCUCAGGUCAAAUUCAGGAUUGAUAAAGAUUGUCUUCCGCUUCCUGAGAGUAGUUUCAAGCAUGCCAUUAAGGAGAACUACAAUUCAAAGGGAAAAUUCACCCAAGAGCUCAAUUCGAGACAAGUCCGUAAGCUACUGGCACUAUACAAGCCAAUUAACAUACAACAGCCAUCUUCCCAACAUGUUCAAGAAGUUCCUCGGACAAACCGUGUUGAAAGGCGCAUGCCUCACUAUGUUGAAGAAAGGCGACAGCCAUAUGAUUAUGAAGAAAGGAGGCUGCCACGAUAUCGUGAAGAAAUGCAACACCCACAAUUUGCUGAAGAAAGGAGAUUAGCCUAUGAUUAUGAAGAAAGAAGGCCAUCACUCCAUGUUGAAGAAAUUCGACGCCCACAGUUUGUUGAAGAAGCUCAGCCACCUACAUACUAUGUUGCUCCUGCUCCUCAUGGUUCAUACCAUCCACAUCAAGCUAAUAUCAUUUAUGAAAGGGCUCCAGCUGACGCCGCCAACAGGGUGGAUCCAUUCCUUCCAAGAGACUACAGGGUGCCGCCACAGGAGGUCGCCGCACCCCCAAGCUACGCUGAUGAGAUCUACCGUGGUGCUUACCCAGCUGCUUACCCGGCAAACCUCCAGGGGCCUGCUGCUUCAAGGGUGCCAGUGUCCUCCCUCUACUCCUUCGCCGGCGCACCGGCGUACAGAUGA
rnacentral:rRNA from 1 species